rnacentral:lncRNA from 1 species
CAGGACUGAGCCAAGAACUUUGUCAAAUAGACCCAUUAGUAAUCAUCUGUUUCUCAGGCUAAUGGGCCCAGUCUUCUGUUAAGUGCUUUGACUGGAAACUCCCAAAGCCACGCCUGAAGGUUGAUCUCCAUGUAACAUCUGUUCUGGGAUGGUGCUGGUGGAACACAGAGUGGAA